rnacentral:rRNA from 1 species
AGCAUAUCAAUAAGCGGAGGAAAAGAAACCAACAGGGAUUGCCCUAGUAACGGCGAGUGAAGCGGCAACAGCUCAAAUUUGAAAUCUGGCCGCAAGGCCCGAGUUGUAAUUUGUAGAGGAUGCUUUGGGCGCGGCGCCUUCCGAGUUCCCUGGAACGGGACGCCAUAGAGGGUGAGAGCCCCGUCUGGUUGGAUGCCUAGCCUAUGUAAAGCUCCUUCGACGAGUCGAGUAGUUUGGGAAUGCUGCUCAAAAUGGGAGGUAUAUGUCUUCUAAAGCUAAAUACUGGCCAGAGACCGAUAGCGCACAAGUAGAGUGAUCGAAAGAUGAAAAGCACUUUGAAAAGAGGGUUAAAUAGUACGUGAAAUUGUUCAGAGGGAAGCGCUUCUGACCAGACUUGGGCUCGGUGAAUCAUCCAGCGUUCUCGCUGGUGCACUUUGCCGGUCCAGGCCAACAUCAGUUCGUCGCGGGGGAUAAAGGCUUCGGGAAAGUGGCCCCCUCGGGGGUGUUAUAGACCGUUGUGCAAUACCCUGCGAUGGACUGAGGUUCGCGCUCCGCAAGGAUGUUGGCGUAAUGGUCAUCAGCGACCCGUCUUGAAACACGGACCAAGGAGUCGUCUUCGUAUGCGAGUGUUCGGGUGUCAAACCCCUACGCGUAAUGAAAGUGAACGGAGGUGAGAGCUACGGCGCAUCAUCGACCGAUCCUGAUGUUUUCGGAUGGAUUUGAGUAAGAGCAUACGGGGCCGGACCCGAAAGAAGGUGAACUAUGCCUGUAUAGGGUGAAGCCAGAGGAAACUCUGGUGGAGGCUCGCAGCGGUUCUGACGUGCAAAUCGAUCGUCAAAUAUGGGCAUGGGGGCGAAAGACUAAUCGAACCUUCUAGUAGCUGGUUUCCGCCGAAGUU